UGGACAAUGGGCGCAAGCCUGAUCCAGCCAUGCCGCGUGAAUGAUGAAGGCCUUAGGGUUGUAAAAUUCUUUCGCUAGGGAAGAUAAUGACGGUACCUAGUAAAGAAGCCCCGGCUAACUCCGUGCCAGCAGCCGCGGUAAU
rnacentral:rRNA from 1 species